CGCAGCUUCCUCUGUUCCGCUAGCAGGAGGCGCUGUGGGCUCCUCCGCCUGGCGGUCACGCUCUGACCUGGUCCCCACCCUUUCUUGAAUUUUUGCAGAUUCUCGGGAAUGGAGACGGAUAUGCCCCAGCACCCACAGCUUUUCUGCAAAACUUUUGGUUUAUUUUUGUCUGUGCAUCUCUCGAAUGCGCAUCCAGACUUGAAGCUCCGCCCGGUACCUAAGCUCUAGUUGAUGUGACCUCCAGCUAUUCCGGCCUCCAGGGCAAGGCUUGGGAAAUCUUGAUAGAGGUCCAAGCCGGCAGCCAGCACUUCUCUCUGACGGCUAAUUGUUCAGUGGGUUGUUUAUUUAUGCUGGAACGGAGGGUUGCCGGGUGCGCGGGGGUGGCUGCCUCCAGGGAAGCCUGCUUCCUGCCUGUGUCUUACUCAGCUACCAGUCGCCUUCUUAAGCCCUGGAAAGAAUCGCUAGACCUGGAAAGACCCUGCCUGAAGGUACUGAUCACCCAGCAAAAGACGGGCUCUCCCUGUUGCUCCAGCUGGCCUGGAACAUGCUGCAUAGACCCCAUUGACCUCCAUCUGAGGAUCUCAAAGACAUCUGCCUGUGUCUGCGUCACCAGUGCUGGGAUUAAAUGAAAUGGCGUGUGCCACCGUGCCCGGCUAUUUUUAUUUUUAA